rnacentral:rRNA from 1 species
AAAGGAAUAGACGGGGGCCCGCACAAGCGGUGGAGUAUGUGGUUUAAUUCGAUGAUACGCGAGAAACCUUACCUGGUCUUGACAUGUUAAGAAUCCUUCAGAGAUGAGGGAGUGCUUGCUUGCAAGAACUUAAACACAGGUGGUGCAUGGUUGUCGUCAGCUCGUGUCGUGAGAUGUUGGGUUAAGUCCCGCAACGAGCGCAACCCUUGUUACUAGUUGCCAGCACGUAAUGGUGGGAACUCUAGUGAGACUGCCGGUGAUAAACCGGAGGAAGGUGGGGAUGACGUCAAAUCAUCACGCCCCUUACGACCAGGGCCACACACGUACUACAAUGCCCGGUACAACGAGUUGCUAAGCCGCGAGGCUGCGCUAAUCUCUUAAAACCGGGCCAAGUUCAGAUCGGAGACUGCAAUUCGUCUCCGUGAAGUCGGAAUCGCUAGUAAACGCAAAUCAGCAUGUUGCGUUGAAUACGUUCUCGGGCCUUGUACACACCGCCCGU